GACGAACGCUGGCGGCGUGCUUAACACAUGCAAGUCGAACGGUGAAGCGCCUUCCUUUUUGGUGGGGGUGGAUGAGUGGCGAACGGGUGAGUAACACGUGAGUAACCUGCCCCCUCCUUCUGGAUAACCGCAUGAAAGUGUGGCUAAUACGGGAUAUCCUGGGCCUGUCGCAUGAUGGGUCUGGGAAAGUUAUUGUUUCGGUGGGGGAUGGGCUCGCGGCCUAUCAGCUUGUUGGUGGGGUGAUGGCCUACCAAGGCGGUGACGGGUAGCCGGCCUGAGAGGGUGGACGGUCACACUGGGACUGAGACACGGCCCAGACUCCUACGGGAGGCAGCAGUGGGGAAUAUUGCACAAUGGGCGCAAGCCUGAUGCAGCGACGCCGCGUGAGGGAUGGAGGCCUUCGGGUUGUGAACCUCUUUCGCCAGUGAAGCAGGCCUGCCUCGUUUGUGGGUGGGUUGACGGUAGCUGGAUAAGAAGCGCCGGCUAACUACGUG
rnacentral:rRNA from 1 species